rnacentral:rRNA from 1 species
CGAGCGAACAGACGAGGAGCUUGCUCCUCUGACGUUAGCGGCGGACGGGUGAGUAACACGUGGAUAACCUACCUAUAAGACUGGGAUAACUUCGGGAAACCGGAGCUAAUACCGGAUAAUAUAUUGAACCGCAUGGUUCAAUAGUGAAAGACGGUUUUGCUGUCACUUAUAGAUGGAUCCGCGCCGCAUUAGCUAGUUGGUAAGGUAACGGCUUACCAAGGCAACGAUGCGUAGCCGACCUGAGAGGGUGAUCGGCCACACUGGAACUGAGACACGGUCCAGACUCCUACGGGAGGCAGCAGUAGGGAAUCUUCCGCAAUGGGCGAAAGCCUGACGGAGCAACGCCGCGUGAGUGAUGAAGGUCUUCGGAUCGUAAAACUCUGUUAUUAGGGAAGAACAAAUGUGUAAGUAACUAUGCACGUCUUGACGGUACCUAAUCAGAAAGCCACGGCUAACUACGUGCCAGCAGCCGCGGUAAUACGUAGGUGGCAAGCGUUAUCCGGAAUUAUUGGGCGUAAAGCGCGCGUAGGCGGUUUUUUAAGUCUGAUGUGAAAGCCCACGGCUCAACCGUGGAGGGUCAUUGGAAACUGGAAAACUUGAGUGCAGAAGAGGAAAGUGGAAUUCCAUGUGUAGCGGUGAAAUGCGCAGAGAUAUGGAGGAACACCAGUGGCGAAGGCGACUUUCUGGUCUGUAACUGACGCUGAUGUGCGAAA